rnacentral:rRNA from 1 species
UGGGGGAUAUUGCACAAUGGGGGGAACCCUGAUGCAGCGACGCCGCGUGAGGGAUGACGGCCUUCGGGUUGUAAACCUCUUUCAGUUGGGAAGAAGCCCUUUGGGGUGACGGUACCUUCAGAAGAAGCACCGGCUAACUACGUGCCAGCAGCCGCGGUAAUACGUAGGGUGCGAGCGUUAUCCGGAAUUAUUGGGCGUAAAGAGCUCGUAGGCGGUUUGUCACGUCUGCUGUGAAAGCCCAGGGCUUAACCCUGGGUGUGCAGUGGGUACGGGCAGGCUGGAGUGCAGUAGGGGAGACUGGAAUUCCUGGUGUAGCGGUGAAAUGCGCAGAUAUCAGGAGGAACACCGAUGGCGAAGGCAGGUCUCUGGGCUGUUACUGACGCUGAGGAGCGAAAGCAUGGGGAGCGAACAGG